rnacentral:rRNA from 1 species
UACGGAGGGAGCUAGCGUUGUUCGGAUAUACUGGGCGUAAAGCGCACGUAGGCGGCGCAGCAAGUCAGGGGUGAAAUCCCGGAGCUCAACUCCGGAACUGCCUUUGAAACUGCAGUGCUAGAAUCCUGGAGAGGCGAGUGGAAUUCCGAGUGUAGAGGUGAAAUUCGUAGAUAUUCGCAAGAACACCAGUGGCGAAGGCGGCUCACUGGCCCGGUACUGACGCUGAGGUGCGAAAGCGUGGGGAGCAAACAGG